rnacentral:pre_miRNA from 1 species
UCUUAUGGAUGGGCAAAGAAAGUGAUUUCUUGAGAUGGAAUAUACUUGUGAUGAUGAUGCCGUGAA